GAUGAACGCUGGCGGCGUGCCUAAUACAUGCAAGUCGAGCGAACGGACGAGAAGCUUGCUUCUCUGAUGUUAGCGGCGGACGGGUGAGUAACACGUGGAUAACCUACCUAUAAGACUGGGAUAACUUCGGGAAACCGGAGCUAAUACCGGAUAAUAUUUUGAACCGCAUGGUUCAAAAGUGAAAGACGGUCUUGCUGUCACUUAUAGAUGGAUCCGCGCUGCAUUAGCUAGUUGGUAAGGUAACGGCUUACCAAGGCAACGAUGCAUAGCCGACCUGAGAGGGUGAUCGGCCACACGGGAACUGAGACACGGUCCAGACUCCUACGGGAGGCAGCAGUAGGGAAUCUUCCGCAAUGGGCGAGAGCCUGACGGAGCAACGCCGCGUGAGUGAUGAAGGUCUUCGGAUCGUAAAACUCUGUUAUUAGGGAAGAACAUAUGUGUAAGUAACUGUGCACAUCGUGACGGUACCUAAUCAGAAAGCCACGGCUAACUACGUG
rnacentral:rRNA from 1 species